CCCACCUGAUGGUCAGUUUUCCUUGCGGCUGACACCCCUUCCCAUUCUCAGGACCUGAAGCCAAGCCAAGGCUGGACCCUGGCAAAGCGGUGCCACGAACAGGAACCUCAAGUCGGGCCGCAUCUCUGCUUUUCCAGAGGCACACACAGCUGAGAUCAUGGCAUUUGACGGCACUUGGAAAGUAGACCGGAAUGAGAACUAUGAUAAGUUCAUGGAGAAAAUGGGCAUUAACUUGGUGAAAAGGAAGCUUGCAGCUCAUGACAAUUUGAAAUUGACCAUUAGGCAAGAAGGGAAUAAAUUCACGAUUAAAGAAUCAUGCAGGUUUCGAAACAUUGACGUUGUGUUUGAACUUGGUGUCAACUUUGACUAUAGUCUAGCAGAUGGAACUGAACUCAAAGGUUCCAUGAGCCUUGAGGAAAAUAAACUUAUUGGAAAAUUCAAACGUGUUGAUAAUGGGAAGGAGCUAAUUGAUAUCUGUGAAAUUUCUGGUGAUGAACUAAUUCAGACUUACAUAUAUGAAGGAGUCGAAGCCAAGCGGAUCUUUAAGAAGGAAUAAGCAAGCUUCUUGGAGCCUAGAGCAAUACUGAAGAGCUAAACUGUUAUGAGACGUCCCUCUCUAUCAUGGGUUCAUUUCCCUGCAGGAACGAGCAAUUGCAGGAUCCACCCCUCUCCCAGUCUCUCCUGCCUUCAGAUCAGGAUGCAGCUUUCAGCUACUGCUCCAGUGCUAGCACCAUGCUCCCCACCAUGACGAUGAUGGACUAUAUGCCUCUGAAACUGCAAGCAAGCUCCCAACUAAAAUGCUUUCUUCCGUAAGAGUUACUAUGAUCAUGGCAUCUCUUCACAGCAAUAAACAGUGACUAAGAUAGGUAUCAAAUCUGAAAAGGAAGAGAAGAUAAAGAUGAGAGGUGAUUAAUUAUGCUGUAUUAGGAAGACAGUCUGCUGGCCUGUAGCAGCAGUCAAACAAUUCAUCCUCUAGUAUGUAGUAGGGUUGUUUUUGUUUCUGAGACAGGGUUUCUCUGCAUAG